UCGGUACGUACUGGCAUUGUUGGUUUCUCCCUUCUGACGAACCAUGAUGUCAUUUAUUUGGUGUUGUGGGGAAUCAGGACUGUUACUUUGAAAAAAUUAGAGUGUUUAAAGCAGGCUCACGCUUGAAUACAUUAGCAUGGAAUAAUGAAAUAGGACGUUUGAUUCUAUUUUGUUGGUUUCUAGGAUCGACGUAAUGAUUAAUAGGGAUAGUUGGGGGCAUUAGUAUUCAAUUGUCAGAGGUGAAAUUCUUGGAUUUAUUGAAGACUAACUACUGCGAAAGCAUUUGCCAAGGAUGUUUUCAUUAAUCAAGAACGAAAGUUAGGGGAUCGAAGACGAUCAGAUACCGUCGUAGUCUUAACCAUAAACUAUGCCGACCAGGGAUCGGAUGAUGUUAAUUUUUUAAUGACUCAUUCGGCGCCUUACG
rnacentral:rRNA from 1 species